ensembl:snoRNA
GCCCUGUGGUUGCUGGAGGCUGUUGAACAGUGCAGCAUUCCAGUGGGUACAGUGGGCCAGAGCAGUCCUGUGAUUUUUGCAUGGGAGCUGUGUUUCCUCAGCAGCUUCCAUAGCCCGGUCACUGGUACAUGG